rnacentral:rRNA from 1 species
GACGAACGCUGGCGGCGUGCCUAAUACAUGCAAGUCGAGCGGACAGAUAAGGAGCUUGCUCCUUUGAAGUCAGCGGCGGACGGGUGAGUAACACGUGGGCAACCUGCCUAUAAGACUGGGGUAACCCCGGGAAACCGGGGCUAAUACCGGAUAGAUUCCUUCCUCUCAUGAGGAAAGAAGGAAAGAUGGUUUCGGCUAUCGCUUAUAGAUGGACACGCGGCGCAUUAGCUAGUUGGUAAGGGAACGGCUUACCAAGGCGACGAUGCGUAGCCGCCCUGAGAGGGUGAUCGGCCAAACUGGGACUGAGACACGGCCCAGACUCCUACGGGAGGCAGCAGUAGGGAAUCUUCCGCAAUGGACGAAAGUCUGACGGAGCAACGCCGCGUGAACGAAGAAGGCCUUCGGGUCGUAAAGUUCUGUUGUUAGGGAAGAACAAGUACGAUAGUAACUGAUCGUACCUUGACGGUACCUAACCAGAAAGCCACGGCUAACUACGUGCCAGCAGCCGCCGUAAUAC